GACGAACGCUGGCGGCGUGCUUAACACAUGCAAGUCGAACGGGUCUGCCCUGUUUUUUGCGGGGUGGGUCAGUGGCGAACGGGUGAGUAACACGUGAGUAACCUGCCCCUCACUUCUGGAUAACCGCUUGAAAGGGUGGCUAAUACGGGGUGUUCUGGCUGUGCCGCAUGGUGUGGCUGGGAAAGAUUCACUUUUGUGGUGUUUUGGUGGGGGAUGGGCUCGCGGCCUAUCAGCUUGUUGGUGGGGUGAUGGCCUGCCAAGGCUUUGACGGGUAGCCGGCCUGAGAGGGUGGGCGGUCACACUGGGACUGGGAUACGGCCCAGACUCCUGCGGGAGGCAGCAGUGGGGGGUAUUGCACAAUGGGCGGAAGCCUGAUGCAGCGACGUCGCGUGAGGGAUGGAGGCCUUCGGGUUGUGAACCUCUUUCGCCGGUGAAGAAGGUCCUGCUCUUUGGGGGGGGGUUGACGGUAGCCGGGUUAUGAAGCGCCGGCUAACUACGUG
rnacentral:rRNA from 1 species